GUCACAAUUGCAUGUUUGAAUUCAAACUUGAAUCUCAAAAGGCUUUAAAAGUUUUUAUUUCAACUUGAACCUUAGGGUUUUACACCCAUUUGAACUUUGGAUCUUCAAACCAAUAGGUUUUGUGUAUAAAAGGGGUUUAAUGCAUAUAUAAGCUAUCCCAUAAUUUUUGGAUAAUCAUUGGAGUUGAAAAAGUAUUUUCUUUAAAUAGAUAUAUGGCCCUAAAGGCAUUUAUAGGGCAAAUGUAUUUUUAUGUAUUUUAUUUUGAAUAGAAACUACUCCCAAAAGUUGUAACAUGGUAGAACAUGAUUUUACAAAUUUUCUGGAAUUUAUUUGGACCAAUUUGGAGUUCAAAAUCAAAAGAUAUCAAAGAGAUGAGAAAAGCAGAAAAAGAAAAGCCUAUAAGGAAAAAAAAGGGGGGAA
rnacentral:lncRNA from 1 species